CUGCAUGUGACUGCAGCUUUCUUCCUCUUUUGCUUACAGAAACUGUUCUCCAUUGCAGUAGCACCAGAAUAACAGAGGUUUCCCUUGCAUAAAAGAACCAGAAGCCCAAAGCUGCACUGCUGCUUAUGCUAGAAGAUGCUGGGAGCUGAAAAAAAAUGGUAUUGUUGGAAUCUGUUUGCCUGGGGUUUUAACCACCAAGUCUGAAGUUAACUUGGCCAAAUUUGCUAAAGCAUCCUUACAGCUUCAAUGCUUUUUCGAACCAACAGUUUCCAAUUCUGUUAAGGUCCACCUGACCAUUUAAGAGUUUCUGUAAUCUCUAUCUCCCAUGCACCAGAGUGCUUCCCAAGUAAAGAAACAGCAGGCCAGGCUUUGCAGAGCUGUCUUGUUCUGGUGCAAAGCCUGUGGACCUGUGCUGGAAUUUGCAGAAGCAGUUUUUGUCUCCUCUGAGUCUUGGCAACCUCAGGGAAGGCUACAACUUGAAUGAAUGAAGUCAUCCAUCAUCUAGCAGUGACUGGAGUAGGUUGAACUCAUUCCCAUUCUGCCUUUUGCUUCAGAAGCAGGAAAAAAGUAUGAAGGGUGUCCAGCAACAAGUUUCUUUCCUUCCCCAAGAUAAGCCGUUAGAGGACAAAUCAAACUGAACAGCAAGGAGUUGUUGGUAUUGUUUUCCACUUGGUUUCAACUUCUGCAGACAAAGCUAGAGCUGGAUUUCCUGCUACAACAUCUGUCUUACUGAAAUCUUUCCUAAUACAGAGAAAAACUACUGA